GUGAUCUUGAGAGCUUGNUCUUGGGUGUAUCAGUGGCGAACGGGUGAGUAACACGUGAGUAACCUGCCCCUGACUCUGGAAUAACUUCGGGAAACCGAAGCUAAUACCGGAUAUGACACAGAGCCGCAUGGUUUCUGUGUGGAAAGUUCUUCGGUUGGGGAUGGACUCGCGGCCUAUCAGCUUGUUGGUGAGGUAAUGGCUCACCAAGGCGACGACGGGUAGCCGGCCUGAGAGGGCGACCGGCCACACUGGGACUGAGACACGGCCCAGACUCCUACGGGAGGCAGCAGUGGGGNAUAUUGCACAAUGGGCGAAAGCCUGAUGCAGCGACGCCGCGUGAGGGAUGAAGGCUUCGGGUUGUAAACCUCUUUCAGUAGGGAAGAAGCG
rnacentral:rRNA from 1 species